UACGUAGGGUGCGAGCGUUGUCCGGAAUUACUGGGCGUAAAGAGCUCGUAGGUGGUUUGUCGCGUUGUCCGUGAAAACUCACAGCUUAACUGUGGGCGUGCGGGCGAUACGGGCAGACUGGAGUACUGCAGGGGAGACUGGAAUCCUGGUGUAGCGGUGAAAUGCGCAGAUAUCAGGAGGAACACCGGUGGCGAAGGCGGUUCUCUGGGCAUGUCCUGACGCUGAGGAGCGAAAGUGUGGGGGAGCGAACAGGAUUGAG
rnacentral:rRNA from 1 species